rnacentral:lncRNA from 1 species
AGAUCAACUUUCCGUCUGUGCCAACGUUCGCCGCGAUUACCGUUCUGCUGUGUACCUGUUUUAAGAAGAAACAACAAGGAAGUGAAACCAAAGACGGGCAGCCCGGCGCCAGGCCCGAAACCAGGCCUGGGCCUGCCUGGCCUAAACCCAGUUUCAUGUGUGUGAAGAGACCACCAAACGUGUGUGAAGAGACCACCAAACAGGCUUUGUGUGAGCAACAUGGCUGUUUAUUUCACCUGGGUGCAGGCGGGCUGAGUCCGAAAAGAGAGUAAGCAAAGGGUGGUGGAUUAUCAUUAGUUCUUACAGGUUUUGGGAUAGGCGGUGAAGUUAAGAGCAAUGUUUUGCGGGCAGGGGUGGAUCUCACGAAGUACAUUCUCAAGGGUAGGGAGAAUUACAAAGAACCUUCUUAAGGUUGGGGGAGAUUACAAAGUACCUUAAGGGUGGGGGAGAUUACAAAGUACAUUGAUCAGUUAGGGUGGGGCAGAAACAAAUCACAAUGGUGGAAUGUCAUCAGUUAAGGCUAUUUUUACUUCUUUUGUGGAUCUUCAGUUACUUCAGGCCAUCUGGAUGUAUACGUGCAAGUCACAGGGGAUGCGAUGGCUUGGCUUGGGCUCAGAGGCCUCACACCCAGUAGCUAAAAAUCAACUCAUAACUUAGAAACCGAUGUUAUUCAUAGAUUCCAGACAUUGUAUAGAAGAACGUUGUGAAACUCCCUGCCCUGUUCUGUUUCUCUCUUACCACUGGUGCAUGCAGCCCCUGUCACGUACCACCUACUUGCUCAAAUCAAUCACGACCCUUUCAUGUGAAAUCUUUAGUGCUGUGAGGAGCCCUUAAAAGGGACAGAAAUUGUGCAUUCGGGGAGCUCGGAUUUUAAGGCAGUAGCUUGCCGAUGCUGCCAGCUGAAUAAAGCCCUUCCUUCUACAACUCGGUGUCUGAGAGGUUUUGUCUGCGGCUCGUCCUGCUACAAGACUAGAAGAGUAGCAUAUUAUAUUCAGUAACUGUUUGCUGAAUACAUGAGGGAAUUGAGCUAAGUGUUUGGCCCAACACUGCACACACAAAGUGGCAGAGCUAGAAUUUGACCCAAGCAUAGUUUUGAAUCUGGAGGCUUUACCACCUCACACAUUGCCUCACCUCCUGAAGGUUUGAUUUGUAGUGGGAUUAGUAUCAUUCACCUCACAAUGGAUGUGCAAUACAAAUGUCAGAGGCGUGUGAACCAGAGCAACUCCAUCUUAAAUAGGAGCUGGGUAAAAUGAGGCUGAAACCUACUGGGCUGAAUUCCCAGACGGUUAAGGCAUUCUAAGUCACAGGAUGAUAUAGGAGGUCAGCACAAAAUACAGGUCAUAAAGACCUUGCUGAUAAAACAGGUUGCAGUAAAGGAGCCUGCUAUAAACCACCAAAACCAAAAUGGUGACAAGAGUGACCUCUGGUCGUCCUCACUGCUACACUCCCAGCAGCGCCAUGACAGUUUACAAAUGCCAUGGUAAUGUCAGGAAGUUACCCUAUAUGGUCUAAAAGGGGGAGGCAUGAAUAAUCCACCCCUCGUUUAGCGUAUCAUCAAGAAAUAAUCAUAAAAAUGCCUAACCAGCAGCCCUCGGGGGCUACUCUGUCUAUGGAGUAGCCAUUCUUUUAUUCCACUACUUUAUUAAUAAACUUGCUUUCACUUUGCACUGUGGACUUGCCCUAAUUCUUUCUUGCGCUAGAUCCAAGAACCCCCUCUUGGGGUCUGGAUCGGGACCCUUUUCCUGUAACGUAUUUCUGGCAACCACAGAAGGGACUAUAGUGCAGAAACCUGACCCAAUGGCUACCUUUGGGUAAGUGUUGGGGUCCGUUAACACUACCAGGUGUUCACCUGCAAAGGGAAGGUGUAAUCUGCCAUGUUAAAGACACUGUGCACCAACUUCUUCAUUUCUUUCUCCACGAUCUCCUCUUUCACUUCUGCUGUCCUUUUCACCUUGCUGUGCACAGAACUGAUGACAGGCUCUUUCCACUGGUACAGCUUGCCACUCACCAGAGCAAAGCUAAAUGGCAGGCACAGGAAAGCAUCAAUGGGAGGCAUAGCACAGUGGGGUGGGAGGCAGGCUCUGCAGGCCACUUCCGUUCCAAUCCUAGCUCGGCUGCAUGACUUGCUUCCGUGUGACUCGUUUUCCC